AUGUACAAGAGAGCCAGUUGUCAGGGAUGUGGAUGGCUUUGUCUGCCUUUGCCCUUAGCUUCCAGCUCCCUUCCCUGCUGGGCCCCUUCCUAUAAAACACAGCCCGACCCCACACAUGACUGUGCAGGGGGAGGAGAACGUCCCUCCCGAGCUGUGUGGAGAGCAGGGAAGCCUGUUAGUGCUGGGCCUUGGAGAUACAGCCACAAUGGCACAGCCAGGCAGGACUGGGGGGUGGAUGGAUGGAGGAUGGGUGGAUCUCUUGGACAGAGUGGGAGCAAGGAGGUGGCAGAGCCCAGCUCUGCUUGGAGGACCCACGUCCAUCAACAAUCCCAGCCAGGCUGCAGGACAGUACCCAGCGGAGCAGCCCCACAGCCCCAGCCCAAGGGAACAGGAGCUCAGGGACAGAGGGGGACUCGUGGGCAGGAGGAAGAGAGGAAGAACUCGGGGGACACUCACAUACUGGCUGGGGGUCUGGAACAGGCGGCAGGAGCAGAGGAACUGGCAGCACAUGGGGUCCCGGUGGUACAAGAGCAGCAGCAGGAUAAGGAUCGCCACGAUGAAGACGGAGGUGGACACCGCUGCCAAGAGACGGGAGAGGCGAAAGUGCCGGUGGCUCGACGGGCCCGUGGGCCUCCUCCUGCCGCCUGCUUUAGCCCCGCGGCUGCCGCUUUCAGCAGCCCCGAGAAGCCGAUUCCACCUGCUGCCCGUCUCAAGAGCGCUAAAGCCCCUUUGUUCCAGCACCUCUCUCCCUGCCAGAUUCUGAACAACCUGCAGAGCCAGGAGGAGCUCACCCCAUCCUGGACCGCCCCGCGGGGACCAGCACCGGCACCCACCGUCUCUGCCCGGAGCUCUCGGCUCCCUCGGCACCGCGGCAGAGCACCGGUUCGCCGGGGCUCCGUUCUCCGGGGAACGCGCGGCUCCCCCCGACCCACGCGCGGAUCCGCGGAGCUCACCCGCACCGCCAGCCCCGCUCCGGCCCCAGCCCCGCCAGACAGCGGCACCCCCGCACCGGGACCGGCCGUGCAGCGAUCUCUCCCCCGCCCGUCCCCAGCUAUCGCUUAUCGGCACAGCCCGGAGGCACCGGCAGAGGCCGAUCCCGCCCGGCGGCCGCCCCCGCUCCGCUCCCGGCACCGCCGGAGCCCCCGCCCGCCACUCACUGGCGGCGAUGACGAUGGCCAGGACGUUGUUGUCCAUGCUGGCGCUGGCGGUCGCUGCGUGGCCCGAGGCCUCCGCGGGCUGCGCCAUCCCGACCCCGCCGCCGCCAGCCCCGGCCCGCCGCCCGCGCCCCACAGCCCGUGA
rnacentral:lncRNA from 1 species